UGGGGAAUUUUGGACAAUGGGCGAAAGCCUGAUCCAGCAAUGCCGCGUGUGUGAAGAAGGCCUUCGGGUUGUAAAGCACUUUUGUCCGGAAAGAAAUCCUUGGCUCUAAUACAGUCGGGGGAUGACGGUACCGGAAGAAUAAGCACCGGCUAACUACGUGCCAGCAGCCGCGGUAAUACGUAGGGUGCAAGCGUUAAUCGGAAUUACUGGGCGUAAAGCGUGCGCAGGCGGUUUGCUAAGACCGAUGUGAAAUCCCCGGGCUCAACCUGGGAACUGCAUUGGUGACUGGCAGGCUAGAGUAUGGCAGAGGGGGGUAGAAUUCCACGUGUAGCAGUGAAAUGCGUAGAGAUGUGGAGGAAUACCGAUGGCGAAGGCAGCCCCCUGGGCCAAUACUGACGCUCAUGCACGAAAGCGUGGGGGAGCAAAACAGGAUUAGAUACCCUGGUAGUCCACGCCCUAAAACGAUGUCAACUAGUUGUUGGGGAUUCAUUUCCUUAGUAACGUAGCUAACGCGUGAAGUUGACCGCCUGGGGAGUAACGGUCGCAAGAUUAAAACUCAAAUGAAUUGACGGGGUCAUAGCUGUUUCCU
rnacentral:rRNA from 1 species